GACGAACGCUGGCGGCGUGCCUAAUACAUGCAAGUCGAACGCAGUGGGGACGGGUGAGUAACACGUGGGUAACCUCCCAUCAGAGGGGAUAACACUUUGAAACAGGUGCUAAACCGAUACUGCUGGAUGGACCCGCGGUGCAUUAGCUAGUUGGUGAGGUAACGGGUCACAAAGGCCACGAUGCAUAGCGUACCUUGGAGGGGGAUCGGCCACCAUGGGACUGAGACACGGCCCAGACUCCUACGUGAGGCAGCAGUGGGGAAUAUUGCACAAUGGGCGCAAGCCUGAUCCAGCCAUGCCGCGUGUAUGAAGAAGGCCUUAGGGUUGUAAAGUACUUUCAGCGGGGAGGCGUUACCCUCAUAAAAAGCACCGGCUAACUCCGUGCCAGCCGCCGCGGUAAUAC
rnacentral:rRNA from 1 species